GCCGAUGGUAGUGUGGGGU
rnacentral:rRNA from 1 species